rnacentral:rRNA from 1 species
UACGGAGGGUGCAAGCGUUGUCCGGAUUUAUUGGGUUUAAAGGGUGCGUAGGUUGCCGAUUAAGUCAGUGGUGAAAUCCCUCAGCUCAACUGGGGAAUUGCCAUUGAUACUGGUUGGCUUGAGUACAGACGAGGUAGGCGGAAUUUAUGGUGUAGCGGUGAAAUGCAUAGAUACCAUAAAGAACACCGAUAGCGAAGGCAGCUUACCAGGCUGUUACUGACACUGAUGCACGAAAGCGUGGGUAGCGAACAGG